AACUUGAACAUUUGGGACAACUCCAUCUGGAGAAAGUCUGUUCUUCCACUGGGGGACGCAAUAACGAAUGGCAGUGUUUAACUCAAGGAGAGCUAAGCUUAGCGCAGAAGUUUAGCGGUUUGGAAGUUGUUACAUAUGAAUCAGUUGUGGAAUUCAACCAUUCAACCAUCUGAGGCGCCGAUCCCGUGGAGCACCCGAAAUGGUCGAGCACCCACGGAAAAAUACGAGAUAUUCUCCAUUGAUUUUAACCAACAGAAAAUCAAUCGGAGCUUUCAGACACUAUUUUCACCCUUUUUGGUUUGGUUUAUUUAAGGCCGUUUCUAUGGCAAUAUUUUAAUGGCAAACGUCGAGAGCGCAUCCAAGUGAUGCGCGAGCACAAAUGGCUCUGCUCUCGAUCAGAUACAUCAGCGCGCUCAAGCUCUCCUUGCAUGACAUAUCAGCGAGAGCAUGACUCGCGACAACACUCGUGAAAAGAAUGUGCUUUUGGGUCGAAAUUGUCAUAAAAUCAUAAAAUUUGUUGCUAUUAAUAAUUUAUUUUAAUUAUUCAAUAUAAAAAUAUACAAAGCUCAGAACUGCAGUUAACUAAAUUAUUCCAGGUAAUCAGUUGGUGCUGAGUUAAGCUUGCAGCUGUUUGUUCAAACUCCUUAUAGUUAGCAGUUGGCAUGGUCGGAAAUAAAUGUAGCUUUGACAGCGGAAACUAGAUAGGGUGUCCGGUUCAGAUGUUUAUCACAUGUCUGGAGUCAAUCGAUUGGGGUCACUUUACCCAAGUAUCAUAAUACAGGACCUUGUAUGGAACAUGUGGUUUUUUUUUAUUUUUCUAUAGGAUUAAUCCCCAUAAUUGAACAAGGAUUGACCCCACCCUCCAAAUUUUUUUUGAGCCACUUGCAUCACAGGCAUAUAUAUAACGUGUCCUACAAGAGAUAUGGCCAAGAGAGCAAGUAUAUAUAUAUAUAGUGCAUGUUUCUGUAGACUGUUUGGCUCGGACAAGACUGAGCUGCAGGGCACAACAGGGCAGUCAUCAUGGUUGACAUUUUGGCAACAUUUGCAGGAACGUGCAAAUAGGAUGCCAAGGAAGUUUUGAAACAUUAAGGAAAUGGCUUUGAUUGCGGUAAAGAGCUUGAAGCAUAGCAGAUUUCAUUUCUUCAAUAACAUCCAACCUGUGCAUGGAAUGACAAAAUUAAUUAAUUACUCAAAGCCAAUUAGUAUUGAUUGCAUGAUGGGAAAAAAACAUUAUUUAAAAAAUCAUAUUUUUUGACUACUAACUUUCAGUCAAUGUUGAGCAUUUUCUAACUUUACUUAAUAUAUAUAUUAUAUGACUGCGGAAAGUUUUUCAAGUUUUUAACCCAAAAAAAACUCCUUUUUUCUCCUUUUUUUUUUUUUUUUUAUAGAAACAUACUUUGUAUUGAAUACAAACAUUUCUAUCAUUAUUACACAGUUAGUUUAACACACAGUGACCAUUUGUUAUUAAUGCCUUUAAGUAUAUGUGGAACAUUUUUUAAUGUGUUUUAUUUAUUAAAUGUUUUAGCAAUAAUUUAAGCCAGUAAAUCUCAUGGAAAUACAUUUUGUAAAAGCUAAAAAAAUGGAAAAAGUAACAUACAACUAGAAUUUCGGUAAGAAAAUGUCAGUUGUGCAUGUCCAUGCGAACCUCACUGCCACAAUGCUAGAUUGUUCUGGGUGCUUGCCAUAGUGUUACUAUCCAGUUGCUAAGGUGUUUUCAGUGGUUGUUAGCAUCUUGCUAUGCUGUUGCUAGAGUGUGCUUGGUGAUUGCUAAAUGAUUACUGGCCCAAAUCAAAUGAGACCCCAAAGUAUCUAUGAGAUUCAUUAGAUCUGGCUUGGGCCCCUCAUUGAUUGCAAGUCUAUGGGAUAUAUUUUACUGUUUUAUUUUUGAAAAGUUUGCAAUGAGCCAUUGCUUUGCUUUGGGCUACAAAAAUUGUAGUUAUUGAUUUGUAUAAAAGUACAACAGAAACAAAUGAGAAAAGUGUGUUUAUGUGUGAGUAUAAGAAAUCAAUGUGAUAACAUGUAAUAACAGUAAUAACACUGUUCCAAAUUUUUGGUUAAAUAAUAUAGUUGUGCUUUGCCUUAAGUUCCCUUUACUCCAUGGCUGAUACAAAAAAAAAAAAAAAAAACAAUCACAAAGAGAUGUUUAACGUUAGUGCAUCUUUAUGGACAUUUUUGUCUUUUUAAUUUUUAAAUUUAUUUAUUUUUUAUGAUUUUGCCUGUGUUAAUGCCAAUUGCAUACAUUUUGGCUCAGGUGUGUAUUUUUAUUGAAAUUUUAAUAUUUCACCCCCAUUUCCUUGGUACAUACACUAGGUACACAAAAUAGUUACACCCAGGACCUUAAGGACAAAAAUGUCCCCAUUGAAACACAUUAAAACUGCAAUUUUUAAUUCCAAGGCCAUUUAAUUAUAAAGUGUUGCAAUCUUUGAUAAUAGGCUUUCAUUCUGUAAGGCUUCAAAAUUAAAAUGUUUACUAUUUUUUACCAAAUGGUGUCAUUUAAAGCAAAUACUUGCUUUAUUCCUAUUUUCUGUUUCUGCAUAUUAUAGAGCCCUUUGGAUAAAUUAUGCAGCUAUAAAUGUGUGGAUGUGUUGGUAUGGAUGUGAGAGUGUGGUUUAAAAAAUUGUGUGUGUGUGUGUGUGCAUGUAAUAAUUGAGAGAGAAAAACUCUACUGUACUGCAAAUCCAACCCUUGUGUGUACUAGCAGAGUUUAGCUGGCAUCUAAUUUGGUACUGCGCCCAAACAAAAUCUUUUUUCUUUUUUUUUUCUUUUUUUUUUUUUUUUUUUUACUUCACUUCAACAAUGAUCUGCCAAGGUUCUUCUUUAAAUUUUUAUGACAAAUUUUGGACAUUUUUUCCUCUUUGGACCUAUGUGUAACUUUUUUUUAAUUGACACACAAGGGUUAAAUGUGGCAAAAAGGUGUUUGAAGCCAACAUAGUUAAUCAUUGCUAGACAAAAAGCUUUUAUGCAGCAGGGUUUGUGCUCAAGAAUGUAUCCACCAUUUUCCUGCAACCCAUGACUCUUUACUCAAAUUAUGGGAGUAACUUACGUUAAACUGUAAACAAUCAGCAAAAGGUUUGCUCUGUGAAUGCAAUAAUCAGCAUGUACAAAAACUGGGUACAAUGAGAUGACAUUAUUCACCCUUCAACCAUUAAACAUUAAAAAUAAAUUUUAAAAUAUGUAGUAAAAAAUAUACUGUAUACUGUGUCUGUAUUGUGAAACGUUACCUUAAUCAAAAAUGUUCAUAAACUGGAACAUUGAGCGAUAAUAUUUCAGUGAUUUCCAUCAUUUUGACAGACAAUAUUGUGUUUACCUGCUUUAGAAACGUUCCAGUAAACACAGCUUCAGUCCUUAUGAUUUGAAAUGAUUUGUUUCAGUCUUUUUGAGUGGAACUUCCCCAAACCGGAAGUGUCUCCCAUAAUGGAAAACGCUGUAGGCUCAUUAGGAUUUAGGUGCAUAGCCUUUGUGAUGACUAGCCUCUGCCCAUAGGAAUACACACAUGCCUCCACUAUUAGUCUAUAUGGUCAUUAGUAUGUUUACUCUUAAGAAAAAUUAUUCUAAACAUAACCUGAUUAGGGUCCCUUGGCUUGUAACAAUAGCAGAACCCUUUUUGGUGCCAAAUAGAACUAUUUUUUCAACUCUUUUUUCCAUAAAGAACCAUGCUUUGAACUGUGUUAUAAAAGACCUUAAUUGUGUUAUAAGCAAUAUAUUGUUCUAAGCAAUAAGCCCCAAGAAGCCAUGGUUUACAGUGAAUUUAGAACAGCUAAGGGUCUUUGUUAAAACUCCCAAACCCCUCAGCUAUUCUAAAUUCACUGUAUAUUACAGCUUCACUGGGCUUAUUGCCUUCAUUUAUUUUGUCAAAAUUGUUUUUUUUAUUUUUUUUUAUUAUUAUUUAUUGAUAUUAUGUUUUACCCCUCUAUCUGUCUGGUCUUGUAAGACCUUAUAGUCUCUAUUUUUGUUUUACAUUUAAAAAACUGACCAGAAGUCAUGUCAAUUAGGUCCUUUUUUAUUGACAUUGGAUAUUGUAUCAAAAAUGACAGUACUCUAACAACAGUUAGUAUCUGAAUAGAUUAAUAAUUUGAUUAAAAAAAUUAAUAAUUGAACAUGAAUAAAUUCUUAAAUAAUUGAAAGACAAAAUAGAAACUCAAAACAGAUGUUAUGAAGGCCAAGUGAAAUAUCUUAUCCUCAAUGACAUCUUUACAUCUUUUAUUUUAGUAGUUUCUCCCUGCAGAUGAUGAGUUUGUUGGUAAUCUGGGUAGAAAUACACAAUUCUUUGAGUCUGUGUGUCUCUUCCAUUGUUUAAGUAAAAGCAAUUAUUGUUAUGAUAGCCAGAAGAAGAUAUUGUGAAUGGACAGUAUGUGAACCCUUCAAGCUGAAAGAGAAAAGCCCGAACAGUUGCCUCAAUGUUGAAAGCCCAAAAUUCUCUGGAAUGUUAUGCUGUAGUAUUUAGAUUUGCAUUUUUUCAUUACUUUUUAUUAUUACUUGUAUAUUUAUAACUGAAAUAGACCAAUUAUUUAGAAGAGGAUGUUAUAUGGAUGUAAAAGUAUAUGGAUACUUCUGGCCUAGUGUACAUUUUCCAGGCAUAUUCAAAACAUUUUUGACCAUGUUGUUUUGUGAAUUGUUUUGCUGCUACAACAUUGUAAUUUUUUCCACACACAGAGAUGAAUAAUGGUGAAUCUACUCACUUACACUUCCAAAGAAAGUGUUUCAAAUGAAUAUCAUUAUUUGUUACUUCACCAUUAUAACAGAUGUAGAUAUAUUCAAGCUCUAUUUAUAUACUGUACCUGGCAGACAGACAGAAAGUUCACUGAAGAGGACCCAGUCAGAUCAGAAAGGGGGCCGUGAAAAGAAUGUCUGUUUUAACCUGUUUUAAGAUUCUGUUAUUUUUGUGAACAUUUAAAAUAAUAAACUGAUUGCAAAUUA